UGGGGAAUAUUGGACAAUGGGCGAAAGCCUGAUCCAGCCAUGCCGCGUGUGUGAAGAAGGUCUUCGGAUUGUAAAGCACUUUACGUUGGGAGGAAGGGCAGUAAGCGAAUACCUUGCUGUUUUGACGUUACCGACAGAAUAAGCACCGGCUAACUCUGUGCCAGCAGCCGCGGUAAUACAGAGGGUGCAAGCGUUAAUCGGAAUUACUGGGCGUAAAGCGCGCGUAGGUGGUUCGUUAAGUUGAAUGUGAAAGCCCCGGGCUCAACCUGGGAACUGCAUCCAAAACUGGCGAGCUAGAGUAGGGCAGAGAGUGGUGGAAUUUCCUGUGUAGCGGUGAAAUGCGUAGAUAUAGGAAGGAACACCAGUGGCGAAGGCGACCACCUGGGCUCAUACUGACACUGAGGUGCGAAAGCGUGGGGAGCAAACAGG
rnacentral:rRNA from 1 species